rnacentral:tRNA from 1 species
GAGGGUAUAGCUCAAGUGGUAGAGCACAUGCUUAGCAUGCAUGAGGUCCUGGGUUCAAUCCCUGGUACUGCCA